rnacentral:rRNA from 1 species
CCUACGGGUGGCUGCAGUGGGGAAUAUUGGACAAUGGGCGCAAGCCUGAUCCAGCAAUGCCGCGUGUGUGAAGAAGGCCUGCGGGUUGUAAAGCACUUUAAGCAGGAAAGAAGGGGUGAAAGUUAAUACCUUUCAUCAUUGACGUUACCUGCAGAAUAAGCACCGGCUAACUCCGUGCCAGCAGCCGCGGUAAUACGGAGGGUGCGAACUUUAAUCGGAAUUACUGGGCGUAAAGUGCGCAGAGGCGGGUGAAAGCGCGGGGCUUAAGCUGGGAACUGCGGUGGAUACUGUCGGGCUAGAGUGUGGUAGAGGGGAGUGGAAUUUCCGGUGUAGCAGUGAAAUGCGUAGAGAUCGGAAGGAACACCAGUGGCGAAGGCGGCUCCCUGGACUAACACUGACGCUGAGGUGCGAAAGCGUGGGGAGCAAACAGGAUUAGAUACCCGAGUAGUC